AGAGUUUGAUCCUGGCUCAGAACGAACGCUGGCGGCAUGCCUAACACAUGCAAGUCGAACGAUGGCUUCGGCCAUAGUGGCGCACGGGUGAGUAACACGUGGGAACCUGCCUUUCGGUUCGGAAUAACGUUUGGAAACGAACGCUAACACCGGAUACGCCCUUUGGGGGAAAGUUUACGCCGAGAGAGGGGCCCGCGUCCGAUUAGGUAGUUGGUGGGGUAAUGGCCUACCAAGCCGACGAUCGGUAGCUGGUCUGAGAGGAUGAUCAGCCACACUGGGACUGAGACACGGCCCAGACUCCUACGGGAGGCAGCAGUGGGGAAUAUUGGACAAUGGGCGCAAGCCUGAUCCAGCAAUGCCGCGUGAGUGAUGAAGGCCUUAGGGUUGUAAAGCUCUUUCGCACGCGACGAUGAUGACGGUAGCGUGAGAAGAAGCCCCGGCUAACUUCGUGCCAGCAGCCGCGGUAAUACGAAGGGGGCUAGCGUUGUUCGGAAUUACUGGGCGUAAAGGGCGCGUAGGCGGCCCUGUCAGUCAGAAGUGAAAGCCCCGGG
rnacentral:rRNA from 1 species